GGAGUUUGUAGGUAUUACCAGUUGUCCAGUGUGUGCAGGAAUGAAUGGAAGUCAUUUCAUUGUCCCCAGUAUGCUUUGGAUCAGAAAACAUCAAUGCACGGCAUCUGUCUCAUUUAACGACAACAAUAACAAGCGAAUGAGAAAACGAAUGAGGAGCUGUCUUCUAAGAGACAAGAGAAAAUCCCUUCGUUAUUUGCAGAUGUUUCCCCAUCCAGAGCUGUACUGGGGGGAGGAAGGGGUAGAUGAGAAAUUAAUGAAAGAGAGAGAGACCUGUGUCACAGCACUGAGAAACUCCACCAGGAGCCAUUCCCAGCAGCGUGUAACAUGAUCUUUCCUGACGACCAACACCUGUGCCAUAGGAAGGUCGAGAGCAGAGCUUGGUUCCAGGUCUGUAGCAGUGAGCGGCGUAUCCUGGCACUUUCUGAAAUGAAGUCAGAUUUUGGCACCAUCCCUUCAGCUGUGAUGAAAGUUACAACAGGGAGGUACUCUGGAAAACGUGGUUCUUGUCCACCCGGAAGAUUUGGGGGCCAUAUUUGUAAAGCUGGAGACCAACUUAUUCAUAACAGUUGGUGUCCCACAGGGGUCCUGAUCUGCAAAAUUAGCCGCUGUAUGCAUUCGAAGCCUGCCAUAUUUCUGAAGGCUGCCGUGAACUUGUGAUGCUUCUGCAGUGCCAUCACUGAGGCUUCUCCAAUGAACUGAGAGCCACUUCCACCCCAGUCCUUGGAGAGCUGUCCAGACCAUCUCUGUCCAUAGAUGACCCUCCCCGCACUCCAUGCCAAGGGAUGAGAGGCUCCUGGGUUCUCUCCCCAGUGCCACCUCCACCCAAGACUCUCCAGCUGCAGCGACCCUUCCCUGUACAGCAGCAUUGGGACAGGCUUUAAAGCUGCUGGCUAUCACAGCAACUAAAAGCAACUGGACUGCUGCUAUCUAGUGUCUGCAGCAACACUAGAUACCCGAACGUAUGAUGGUGGGCACCAGACUCAGCCCUGAUAGGGUUAUUUUUAUCCUUUCAAUUGAGAGGAUGUAAUACUCUGGGAACAGGGGAAGGAAAUGCCCCACUGUUCCGUCUUAGCUCCAGAUCUGAUUUUUUGCACGCGGUCUCUGAGCGGUGAGGUUCUGGUGCAGGCUGCCCGGAGAGCUCUGAGUGCCCCAUCCCUGGAGGUGCUCCAUGCUGGGUUGGAUGGGCCCUGGGCAGCCUGAGCUGCUGGGGACAACAAGCCCACAGCAAGGAGUGGGCUUUAAGCGUGGGCUCCCUUCCAACCCAAACCAUUCUUUGAUUCUUUGAUUCUAUGAUUCUAUGACCAGUGGACUUUGAGCUGGACCCUCAAAAGCAGCUCCACAUCCUCUAAUGAAAUGGUCCCAUAAACUGCAGAAGUGCUGAGCUACCCAGGCUGAGCAGCCCUGGAAUACGUGCAGGCAGCAUCUUCCAAUGGCAGUUACUCUUGCACCUUGGAGUUUGGCAAGCACUUCUUUUUUUUUUUUAGGAGAAAAAAAUAAUUAACCUUCAAUUCAGGUCCCAGCUCGCAUAACCACAGAUAGAUUCGACUAAUAAUUUGCUUGCUUAAGUGACUCAUAAUAAACACUGUGCGUUUACUUUUGCUUUGAGAGCA
rnacentral:lncRNA from 1 species